CAGUGUCUCACAGGAAGCUCAGUGAAGACUCCUGUUCAGUGGCAAGCAGAAGAUGAAAACAAAAACAAAACAGAAACCACAGAGAGAAUUAGGUUGCUUACAGAGGAGACAGAAGGGAGCAUGGUUUCUUUCAUGCUACCAAUUUAAUCAGCAUUUUGCCUCACACUGAGCAUGUUUGGCUCAUGUGAUUACUUCCUUUUUGAAGGUUAUGGCAGUCUCAGGAUGAGAGGGCAGUAAGUUAGGAGGAAGACAGGAUUUCAAAAAACUAGAAAGCAAACAGAUGUAAGAAUGGCCAUAGCAUUCCAGAAGCAGAUUUCUACCCUGUCCUAGAAUCCAUGACUGUGAAGACAUAUCUGUGGUGGUUCACUCCUCCAUCUAAGGCCUAUGAUGUCAGAAAUGCUUGUUAGGCCUCAGUCUUGAACAGUACCUGGGCUAAACUCUUGUGCUUAUCAGAAAUAUUGUCUGCUCCCAGGAACUGGUGCCAUCUAAUGAGCUUCUGUUUUUAACAAACACCAUUGGAAACUUAUUUUUCUUGCAAACUCAAGUGGAAGAACAUUUUUGUCAUCAAAUUUUCAAAAGUUACUAAUUGGAGCCAGGAUGGCAAAUUACUGUGACUAAAGGCAAUUCUCUUUUGAACCUAUAAACAGUGGUUCUAAGUGAGACCCUUGGCACUCUCCUGGACCACAAUGAGCUGUGACUGGCAACCUCCCUUUGACUGGGGCCUCUCAGAGCCAGAGAACUCUCAAAUUUGCUGUACUUGAAAGACCACUGCCAAGCAAUGAUGACAAAGCCUGGCCCACUCCUCAAGGCUCAACCCUUUGCCUGUUGAGAAGAUGCAGAGAUCUGAUAUGAGCACUUCACUGAGCUCAAGAGAGAAAUUUCACAGCCCCUGGCCGGCAGGAAAAAUGAACACUCUCUACAGAAAGGAGCUCUUUUGGCAAUUCUCCACCUCACACUAACUUGUAAUUUAGGCUGUGCCUAUACAACAGCCUGCAUCCAAAA